rnacentral:lncRNA from 1 species
GGUUUUGGGAAAGAAUGGAUGCCAGAAGCAAGACACACGCACGCAUAGAGAGAUAGAAGACAGUAGGCAUCACAAAUUGGAGAAGUUUGAUGAGCAAAACAUCUCUUUGUAAUUUCUUUUAACCUUGUUGCUUAAAUUCUUUUAUUAUGAGUGGCUAAUUUCCAUUGAUUAGGUCAUAGAUGAUUCUGUUCUAGCUCAU